rnacentral:rRNA from 1 species
UAUACGACUCUCGGCAACGGAUAUCUCGGCUCUCGCAUCGAUGAAGAACGUAGCGAAAUGCGAUACUUGGUGUGAAUUGCAGAAUCCCGUGAACCAUCGAGUCUUUGAACGCAAGUUGCGCCCGAGGCUUUUGGUUGAGGGCACGCUGCCUGGGCGUCACGC